AUUGAACGCUGGCGGCAUGCCUUACACAUGCAAGUCGAACGGCAGCGCGGGAGCAAUCCUGGCGGCGCGUGGCGAACGGGUGAGUAAUACAUCGGAACGUGCCCAACCGAGGGGGAUAACGCAGCGAAAGCUGUGCUAAUACCGCAUACGAUCUACGGAUGAAAGCAGGGGAUCGCAAGACCAUGCGCGAAUGGAGCGGCCGAUGGCAGAUUAGGUAGUUGGUGAGGUAAAGGCUCACCAAGCCUUCGAUCCGUAGCUGGUCUGAGAGGCCGACCAGCCACACUGGAACUGAGACACGGCCCAGACUCCUACGGGAGGCAGCAGUGGGGAAUUUUGGGCAAUGGGCGAAAGCCUGAUCCAGCCAUGCCGCGUGAAGGAUGAAGGCCUUCGGAUUGUAAACUGCUUUUGUACGGAACGAAACAGUCUUUUCUAAUAAAGGAGGCUAUUGACGGUACCGUAAGAAUAAGCACCGGCUAACUACGUG
rnacentral:rRNA from 1 species